rnacentral:lncRNA from 1 species
CUGAGUGGCGGCGGUGGCAGCAGCAGCGGUGGCGGUGGCGGCGGCGGCGGCGGCGGUGGUGGCGGCGGCGGCGGCGGCGCCGAACAGGGACAGGCUCUGUUCAAUGGCGACAUGGAGCCGGAGGCCGGCGCUGGCGCCGCGGCCUCUUCGGCCGCGGACCCGGCCAUUCCUGAAGAGGUGUGGAAUAUCAAGCAAAUGAUUAAGUUGACACAGGAACAUAUAGAGGCCCUAUUGGACAAGUUUGGUGGGGAGCAUAACCCACCGUCAAUAUACCUGGAGGCCUAUGAAGAGUACACCAGCAAGCUAGAUGCCCUUCAGCAGAGAGAGCAGCAGCUGUUGGAAUCCCUGGGUAAU